UACGGAGGGGGUUAGCGUUGUUCGGAAUGACUGGGCGUAAAGCGCGCGUAGGCGGAUCAUCAAGUCGGGGGUGAAAUCCCGGGGCUCAACCCCGGAAUGGCCUUCGAGACUGGUGGUCUUGAGUUCGAGAGAGGUGAGUGGAAUUCCGAGUGUAGAGGUGAAAUUCGUAGAUAUUCGGAGAAACACCAGUGGCGAAGGCGGCUCACUGGCUCGACACUGACGCUGAGGUGCGAAAGCGUGGGGAGCAAACAGG
rnacentral:rRNA from 1 species